ACAGCGCGGAUCGGGGCUGGGAG
rnacentral:miRNA from 1 species